AUUGAACGCUGGCGGCAGGCUUAACACAUGCAAGUCGAGCGGAGAUGAGGUGCUUGCACCUUAUCUUAGCGGCGGACGGGUGAGUAAUGCUUAGGAAUCUGCCUAUUAGUGGGGGACAACAUUCCGAAAGGAAUGCUAAUACCGCAUACGUCCUACGGGAGAAAGCAGGGGAUCUUCGGACCUUGCGCUAAUAGAUGAGCCUAAGUCGGAUUAGCUAGUUGGUGGGGCAAAGGCCUACCAAGGCGACGAUCUGUAGCGGGUCUGAGAGGAUGAUCCGCCACACUGGGACUGAGACACGGCCCAGACUCCUACGGGAGGCAGCAGUGGGGAAUAUUGGACAAUGGGGGGAACCCUGAUCCAGCCAUGCCGCGUGUGUGAAGAAGGCCUUAUGGUUGUAAAGCACUCUAAGCGAGGAGGAGGCUACUGAGACUAAUACUCUUGGAUAGUGGACGUUACUCGCAGAAUAAGCACCGGCUAACUCUGUGCCAGCAGCCGCAGUAACAC
rnacentral:rRNA from 1 species